ensembl:lncRNA
AGUUAGAGAAUUUAGAGGAGUUAGAGGAUUUAGAGAGCCGAUGGGGAUUAGAGUUAGAGGAUUUAGAGGAGUUAGAGGCCCUAUGGGGAUUAGAGUUAGAGGAUUUAGAGGAGUAAGAGGCCCUAUGGGGAUUAGAGUUAGAGGAUUUAGAGGAGUAAGAGGCCCUAUGGGGAUUAGAGUUAGAGGAUUUAGAGGACCGAUGGGGAUUAGAGUUAGAGGAUUUAGAGGAGUUAGAGGCCCUAUGGGGAUUAGAGUUAGAGGAUUUAGAGGAGUAAGAGGCCCUAUGGGGAUUAGAGUUAGAGGAUUUAGAGGAGUAAGAGGCCCUAUGGGGAUUAGAGUUAGAGGAGUUAGAGGAUUUAGAGCAUUUAGAGGAGUUAGAGGCUCUAUGGGGAUUAGAGUUAGAGGAUUUAGAGGAGUUAGAGGCCCUAUGGGGAUUAGAGUUAGAGGAUUUAGAGGAGUUAGAGGCCCUAUGGGGAUUAGAGUUAGUGGAUUUAGAGAGGCUAUGGGGAUUAGAGUUAGAGGAUUUAGAGGAUUUAAAGGUGUUAGAGGAUUUAGAGGAUUUAGAGGAGUUAGAAGAUUUAGAGGAUUUAGAGGAUUUAGAGGAGUGGGCCGCUAUCUUGG